GAUCCUGGCUUAGAACGAACGCUGGCGGCAUGGAUUAGGCAUGCAAGUUGAACGAACUCCUUCGGGAGUGAGUAGCGGAAGGGUGAGGAACGCGUGAGUAAUCUGCCCCCCAGUUGGGAAUAACAGUUGGAAACGUUACUGCUAAUACCGAAUGUGGCUUAAGCUUCGCCUGGAGCUUUGGCUAAAGAUUUAUCGCUGGGGGAUGAGCUCGCGUCCCAUUAGGUAGUUGGUGAGGUAACGGCUCACCAAGCCGACGAUGGGUAGCUGGUCUGAGAGGAUGGUCAGCCACACUGGGACUGAGACACUGCCCAGACUCCUACGGGAGGCUGCAGUCGAGAAUCUUGGGCAAUGCGCGAAAGCGUGACCCAGCAAUGCCGCGUGUAUGAUGAAGGCCCUCGGGUCGUAAAGUACUGUCUCCCGUGACGAAAUUUGACGGUAGCGGGGAAGGAAGCCACGGCUAACUACGUGCCAGCCGCCGC
rnacentral:rRNA from 1 species